rnacentral:rRNA from 1 species
GAUGAACGCUAGCGGCAGGCCUAACACAUGCAAGUCGAGGGGUAGAAGUCUUCGGGCUUUGAGACCGGCGCACGGGUGCGUAACGCGUAUGCAAUCUGCCUUACACUAAGGGAUAGCCCAGAGAAAUUUGGAUUAAUACCUUAUAGUAUAUUGAUGUGGCAUCACAUUAUUAUUAAAGAUUUAUCGGUGUAAGAUGAGCAUGCGUCCCAUUAGCUAGUUGGUAUGGUAACGGCAUACCAAGGCAAUGAUGGGUAGGGGUCCUGAGAGGGAGAUCCCCCACACUGGUACUGAGACACGGACCAGACACCUACGGGAGGCAGCAGUGAGGAAUAUUGGACAAUGGGCGCAAGCCUGAUCCAGCCAUGCCGCGUGCAGGAUGACGGUCCUAUGGAUUGUAAACUGCUUUUAUACAGGAAGAAACCCUACUACGUGUAGUAGAUUGACGGUACUGUAGGAAUAAGGAUCGGCUAACUCCGUG